UACGUAGGGUGCGAGCGUUGUCCGGAAUUAUUGGGCGUAAAGAGCUCGUAGGCGGUUUGUCGCGUCUGCCGUGAAAGUCCGGGGCUCAACUCCGGAUCUGCGGUGGGUACGGGCAGACUAGAGUGAUGUAGGGGAGACUGAAAUUCCUGGUGUAGCGGUGAAAUGCGCAGAUAUCAGGAGGAACACCGAUGGCGAAGGCAGGUCUCUGGGCAUUAACUGACGCUGAGGAGCGAAAGCAUGGGGAGCGAACAGG
rnacentral:rRNA from 1 species